CCUAAAAUGAAAGCCCUAAAAACAACCUCAGUCAGCCAAAAGUUGGUUUUAAUGACUUAAAUGUUAGCAAAACCAACACUUUAUAUAUUUACAGGACACCCCCUUCCUGCACCACCUACAUAAAGCGCGCGUGCGGGCAUUACGCACACAGGCGCGCGCGCAUCAGGGAGAAACUAAUUUACUUCCUUCAUCAGAGAAUCCCAGCAUCAGACGCCAUUUAGCACUUUGCUCCGAAUCUGAUUGGCUAAUUGAAGGAUGCGGCUGUCUGGCUCGCGCCGCUUACCUUGGCCCCCUUCUCCUCGUUGUUGAGCCUGUCUUCGGGCACAUCUGUCGGCAUCUGCAAACUGGCACGAAGCGGGAAUAAGGACUUUAAUGGACAAGGAGCGCUGCCCUCUUCACCCCCGCCCAGUUUACUUUAGGAACCCAAGCCCGACGAGCCCGGUCGCUCACCUGUCACGCAGCUCUCGGCAGCUACAAAGAGCUGUGCAGGUGGAUGCUGAUUAGCUGCAACGCACCUGCGGCCGAUGCUGCUCGAGCGCUCUCCUCCAACAAACAGGCUGCCGGGCCAUAAGGUGACUCUGAAGUCUCUCCCUGCCGCCCAUUAGGAAGACGGUUCCCAUGGCGACCCAGACGAACAGCUUGUUUAUGACCUUUGUAGACACGGUUGUAAUUACAUUAAAUAACACUGUAUCUUAUCAUUGUCUGCUUUCAUGAGUCAUUUCCCAUGUAACUGCUGUGGUGCGAAUCUCAUCCAGCAGGCCUGCUGCGAGGAGUCACAUGCAAAUAGACUUUCACAGCUUGAGCGUGCUCUGACAGCAUGAAGGACGACGUUAAGCAGCCUCAUCCAGCAUGAAAUAGUUUCAAUAGGCAAUUCAAAUAAGUUUAAUGCAGAAGGUAGCUGUUUUCCAUUAGCACACACGCUGGAUCCCCCCUGAACGGGGAAGGAAGCGGAUGCAGUCUUUGGAGGGGCAUUGUCCUUUAUGUGAUCAUGUUGCUUGGUAACAGCAGAAGAAUGAUGAGAAGAGUAGGACGUGUUCUGGUGCCUCCUAUGUAACGUGAUGUGUCUUCACAUUAGCUGUGGAGAAAUACAGCGCAGUGUGGCCGCGACGGCAGUGGUGCGGUUCUGUCCAGACCAGGGGUGAGGAUGCAGAGGAAUCAUUCUUUGUUUCUUACAUGAACUUAUGUCACUUCUCAGAUAGUGUGUGUUGCAGGUAUGUUUAAAAAGUCACAAAAAAUAAUGUUAGCCUAUUUAAGCACGAUCAAUUUUAGACAGUUAAAUAUUUGAAAGCCAUGAAUUUUAUUGAAAUAUCUUUAAGAGAACACUGCUGUAAAUAACAUUUUACCUUAGUUCAAACCAACACUAACACUGAAAGUCAUAAACUACCAAAAUGCUGCCCCUCAUCGUAACGUACAUGUAAAUUUGUACGUUACAUGUUUUAUUAACAUUAAUCAUAUGAAUUCACCUUUUAGCUGUUUUAACAGGUCUGAAGUAUUAAAAUUACAGAUAUUGUUUAUUUGUCGCUGCAGAAAUGUGCUCAUGAACCCUACAUACAUAUGUAACAUUUAACACAGCAAUUAGUCUGAGUCAGUAACCCCCACCCCCAAUAGCCACCAUGGUAUUUCCCCAGAGGCUGUCCGCUCAUUAAAAAUCACUGACUUGGUGGAAAAGAAGCCUGUUUGCUUCCAAUUUCAAUAAACCAGCUAAACUAGAUCCCUUGCUUCACAAUGUUAUUUCUAACUCAUAUCUGACUCAUUACAGCAUCCUUAGAAAAAAGGUCAAGGCACGGUUGCUAAUGACAACCUGCAGACUGCUGCUUUACUCUGAUCAUUUGUGCUUGUGUGUGUCUGUAAAGCCCAGCAGAAGCCUCAUUUGUAGAGCUCAGUCGCCCCCUGCUGUCUCUCACAUCCUUUGACUUGUGAAUAUAUGUGGUUGCCAUGCCAACCGUGAGGGGCAUUUCUGAAGUCAGGAAGUAAAUUUAGCAUCCACCUAUAAUCAUGAAUGUCCAGCCAGUUAGAGACUUGUUACUGUUAGAUUAUGGCUGUAGCUUUACAUAGCAGCUGAACAGUUGCCUGAUUCCACUGGGAUGGAAUAAAAUAAUAAAAGAAUCGUUUUCAA